GCCUGCCAAACAUACAAGACUGAGGAGUUACAGUGGUAUAAGAAAGUAGCUUCAGGACCCUGCAAGUGGUUCCAGAGGACUACAGUCUUCAAUGCACGUGGAGCUGAUUGAGAGAUGAAAGCAAAGAAGAAGGCUGUUCUUCUGCCUAGAAUACUCCCAGUCCUGUGGCCCUGGUAACUCCUGCUCAUCCUCCAAGACAAUUCCUCUGCAAAGCAAUCUCAAACCAACCUGGGACAACUGAGGACCCCUUGAAGUUACCAAUCAUCCAAAGGAAGUGAUGAAGCCUCAUUCCAAAUUUAGCAAGUAAAAAAAGUAAGUAAAUAAAUUAAUUGAGGAUAAAUACAGAGGCAAUUAUAAAGAAUGUUAGGCCUAAUUUGAAAUAUUUAC